UACGUAGGGGUGCAAGCGUUAAUCGGAAUUACUGGGCGUAAAGCGUGCGCAGGCGGCUUUGCAAGACAGAUGUGAAAUCCCCGGGCUCAACCUGGGAACUGCAUUUGUGACUGCAUGGCUGGAGUGCGGCAGAGGGGGGAUGGAAUUCCGCGUGUAGCAGUGAAAUGCGUAGAAUAUGCGGAGGAACACCGAUGGGCGAACGGCAA
rnacentral:rRNA from 1 species